rnacentral:rRNA from 1 species
UGAGGAAUUUUGCGCAAUGGGGGAAACCCUGACGCAGCAACGCCGCGUGAGUGAUGAAGGCCUUCGGGUCGUAAAGCUCUGUCGAGUGGGAAGAAACGUAUGCUGUUAACAGCAUCAUAGCUGACGGUACCAGACGAAUAAGCCACGGCUAACUCCGUGCCAGCAGCCGCGGUAAUACGGAGGUGGCAAGCGUUACUCGGAAUUAUUGGGUGUAAAGGGCAGGUAGGCGGCUAGGUAAGUGAGGGGUGAAAUCCCACGGUUCAAUCGUGGAACAGCCUUUCAAACUGCCUGGCUUGAGUGUGACAGGGGAAGAUGGAAUUCUCGGUGUAAGGGUGAAAUCUGUAGAUAUCGGGAAGAACACCAACGGCGAAGGCAAUCUUCUGGGUCACUACUGACGCUGAGCUGCGAAAGCUAGGGGAGCAAACA